GGGGAAUUUUGGACAAUGGGCGCAAGCCUGAUCCAGCCAUGCCGCGUGAAGGAUUAAGGUCCUCUGGAUUGUAAACUUCUUUUAUAAGGGACGAAAAAAGGUCUUUCUAGAUCAUCUGACGGUACCUUAUGAAUAAGCACCGGCUAACUCCGUGCCAGCAGCCGCGGUAAUACGGAGGGUGCAAGCGUUAUCCGGAUUCACUGGGUUUAAAGGGUGCGUAGGCGGGCAGGUAAGUCAGUGGUGAAAUCCUAGAGCUCAACUCUAGAACUGCCAUGGAUACUAUCUGUCUUGAAUAUUGUGGAGGUAAGCGGAAUAUGUCAUGUAGCGGUGAAAUGCUUAGAUAUGACAUAGAACACCUAUUGCGAAGGCAGCUUACUACGCAUAUAUUGACGCUGAGGCACGAAAGCGUGGGGAUCAAAC
rnacentral:rRNA from 1 species